rnacentral:ncRNA from 2 species
GGUGACAAAACAAUAGUACCUCAUAUAAUCACGGGAUUAUGGCCCGUAAGUCUCUACCCGAUGACCGUUAUUCAUCGGACUAUGAGGGGAAGCACACUGCUG